rnacentral:tRNA from 1 species
AGCUCAGCCGGACAGAGCAAUUGCCUUCUAAGCAAUCGGUCACUGGUUCGAAUACAGUA